rnacentral:rRNA from 1 species
ACGGGGGGUGCAAGCGUUGUUCGGAAUCAUUGGGCGUAAAGCGCGCGCAGGCGGCUUGGUAAGUCAGAUGUGAAAUCCCUGGGCUUAACCCAGGAAGUGCAUUUGAUACUGCCUCGCUAGAGUACGGGAGAGGAAAGUGGAAUUCCUGGUGUAGAGGUGAAGGUCGUAGAGAGCAGGAGGAACGCCGGUGGCAAAGGCGACUUUCUGGCCCGAUACCGCCGCUCAGGCGAGUAAGUGUGGGGAGCAAAAAG